rnacentral:rRNA from 1 species
UACAGAGGUCCCAAGCGUUGUUCGGAUUCAUUGGGCGUAAAGGGUGCGUAGGCGGCGCGGUAAGUCGGGUGUGAAAUCUCGGGGCUUAACUCCGAAACUGCAUUCGAUACUGCCGUGCUUGAGGACUGGAGAGGAGACUGGAAUUUACGGUGUAGCGGUGAAAUGCGCAGAUAUCGGGAGGAACACCAAUGGCGAAGGCAGCUUGCUGGGACGGUACUGACGCUGAGGCGCGAAAGCGUGGGGAGCAAACAGG